AUCUAAUGUAAUUCUCUAAAAAUAUCUAAACCCUAACCUUCCUCCCCGCCUUCAUCAAAUUUUUCCCCAUACCCUUCCCCGCACCACAAUCUUCUCUGCUUGGCUUCGUGUUCGUCUUCUCCUGCUUGGCUUCGUGUUCUCCUUCUCCUGCUUGGUUGAGCGUCGAGGUGGAGGCGUCGAGGCAUUUGUGGGUUGAGCGAGAUCGAGGUGCUCUAGCGCACUCCCGUACUGACCGAUCUUAGGUCGAGGUCGAGGUACCAGGAAUCUGUUGGGGUGAUUUCUAUCACUACAGUACAACACAUUUUGUCUCCAACCCCUCAAACUCAAAUCCUCCUUGGUAUGUUCAUCUUAUCUCUUCAAUCUUCAUGGUUUAGUAGUGAAAAACGAAGAUAUUCAUUAAGUAGAAGAAUUAUUAUGAAACACAAUAUGGGUAUGUUACAAUAUGGUU
rnacentral:sRNA from 1 species